AGAGAGGGAGGACGGGUCAAGAGAUUUUUUUUUUUUCAGGAUAGGUACUAUAGUGGCAUGUUUAAGGUCAGCAGGGACAGUACCAGAAGAGAGAGAGCAAUUGAAUAUGUGCACAAGACAAGGGGAGAGAGAUCUGAUAAGGUGAGAUGGGUCAGGAUCGAGCGGACAAGUGGUGGGGCGAGAGGAAAGGAGAAGCACAGCCACCUCUUGUUCAGUAGCCAGGGAGAAAGUCUGAAGGGUAGGAAAGGCAUGAUCUACGUGUUGAGAAAGAGAACGGCAAGGUGGGGAGAAUUCUUUCC